UCAACACAGAGGCCGACGCGGGGCUCGAACUCACGGACCGCGAGAUCAUGACCUGAGCCGAAGUCGGACGCUUAACCGACCGAGCCACCCAGGCGCCCCUUUCUUGAUAAAGUUUUGGACCUAACCUCUAGGACGUGAGGAACUAGAAAUUUAGUCCUGAUAAUAGUAAUGCCCACUUUUGCAUUCUAAGAGGCAAAAAUCUAGACCUAGUAACAUUGGGCAUUAACAUCAAGAUGAAAAACUGUUUCCUGGAAUGAAAAAGUGUCAUGCAAAGAUAUUUUUUUUCACCCAUCUCUUAUUUGAAAAGCCUAGGGAAUAUAUUCUUAUGAGAUAUUUCUUGGGAUAAUAAUAAUAAAGUUGCUCGUGGUAUAAAUUAGAAUGUUUUUGGUUGCAAGUCACAGAACACCCAACUCUUAAUUGAUUUAAAUAAUGAAUGAGAUCUCUUGGGUCACACAGACCAUGAAAUUUCCUCAGUUUUUGUUUUUGUUUUUAUUUUGGAGAUCGAGCGCAUGCACACACACAAGCUGGGGAGGGGCAGAGGGACAGAAGGAGAGAAUCCCAAGCAGGCUCCACACUCCACACUCCUGAUGCAGGGCUCAAUCCCACGACCGUGACAUCCUGACGUGAGCCAAAAGCAGGAGUCAGACGCCCAAACCAACUAAGCCACCCAGGUGCCCAAAAUUACCUCAGUUCUAAUGUUCUAGAGAUAUCACUUCGCUUUUAAAAGAAUGUUCAAGAUGCUCUCAUAACUUACUGUUAGAAAUGCAAAUAUGUACAGCCUUUUUGGAGGGGAAUUUUCCAGUAUGUAACAAAACUUUUUAUUAACUUUUUGACACAGCAAUCCUUCUUCUAGGAAUUUUUCCUAAAGUCAUAACUCCAGUUCCACUCCUAGGUAUAUACCCCUUAUAUCCAUUCGAAUAGAUUUUAAAUAUGGAGAUUCAAGAUCCAUAAUCAACUCUGUCCUGUGUCUGUGAUUCUGGGGUAUGCCUCUAACUUCGAUGAGAUGGUACCCUCCACUUCUUUCCCUGGAAGGUGAGGGAUUUGGAUCAGAUGAUAGCUCCCACUUAUCAAAAGUCGACUCUGUUGCAGACACUAUGUUUAUUAUUCCGUUGUAUGAUUCCCAAUCCUUUCUUGCAAGGUACGUAUGUAUGUAUGUGUUUAAUUUUUGAGGUAGGGUUCACACCCAGCACGGAGCCCAAGGCAGAGCUUGAACUCAUGGCCCUGAGAUCAAGACCUGAGCUGAGAUCAAGAGUCGGAUGCUUAACUGAGCCACCCCGGCACCCCACAAGGAUCUCCUACAGCAAGUGUGUCUUCUCCAGAGCUCCAGUCUCCGCUGAACAACCCUGCCGUAGUUCCAGCUUAUGCAGAGUGACCUCAGCCCCUGGACUUAGGUCACAUCACUUUCUCCCCUUGUCCCUCUCACCUCCCUGGGUGGAGAAGACUUCCUGUCAUUAAAAAGCCUGAGCCUCACCUA